GUCCUAGCCGUAAACGAUGUACACUAGGUGUCGGGCCCUCUGGGUUCGGUGCCGCAGUUAACACUUUAAGUGUACCACCUGGGGAGUACGGUCGCAAGACUGAAACUCAAAGGAAUUGACGGGGACCCGCACAAGCGGUGGAGCAUGUGGUUUAAUACGACGCUACGCGUGGAACCUUACCAGGACUUGACAUGCAUCUGAAAUCCUAUCGAAAGUUAGGACCUGUCCUAAAGACACAGAUACACAGGUGUUGCAUGGCUGUCGU
rnacentral:rRNA from 1 species